UUAUGAAGUGAUAAUCAAUUAUAAAUGUUCAUAUCUCAAACAAAGAAGAUAAGAAAGACAAUAGACAUCUAUCAAAGUGAUGGGUGAAGAACGAAAGCAGCACAUGGCACCCUCUCAAUAUACUUCAGCAUCCAAAAAUUAUCUAUAUUUAUGUAUUUCUUAUUGAGAUUUAACAGCUUUUAUUUCAGACGACUACAAACUUAACAACUUUUGACUUUUCUUCUGUGUGUUCUAAUCAUGGGAAUAUGAACACCAUAAGAGACCACCAAAAGUAGCAUCCCCAAGACCUUUAUAUGUUACCCAUACUUCCAAAUUCUAUGUUUUCACAAUCUAUCAAGAAUUCCAACUUCUAUGGACUCUCUUGAAUAUGUGUCUACAGAUAAGUUAAACUGGAGAAAUAGACAUAGAGGCGAAGAGGAACAGAGAAGGAGAAACAUCACGAAUACACAUCCGUAAUCUAUAUGUGUAGUCCAGCAGAAUCCACCUUUCCAGAAAGUCUUCACAAAUUCAAGGUGGUAUUUCCUAUGAUGACGUCCACACUCUAGAGAAGAUUAUCUAGGUGAAAGGUAAACAAAUGCUGUUCAAUACUUAGUCAACUAGAAUAUAAUCUUAGGAAUUCCUGUUGUUAAGAAAACUAUAGAUACUCUUAAUUUUUCUGCAAAGGCUGCCUUGAUUGACAUUUUCAUUCUAUGGGAAAAACUUAUGCCAGGCAAUUAAGUAUAAUGUUUCUACUGUAUCAAAAAAUAACUUUAUUAGAACUCAAAACUAUGGGGUGGUUGUAGUUGGUGAGACAGAUGAAGAGAAUAAAAAUAUUGAUUAUUAUGGAGAACUUACUGAGAUUCUUGAAUUGCAAUUUAUUGGAGGAAUCUUGUUUAGAUGUAUGUGGUUUGAUGUGUAUGACCAAGAAAAGGGAGUUAAAAUGGAUGAAUAUGGCUUUGUGAGUAUUAACCGUCAGGGAUUGUUGAAAACCAAUGAGCCAUUUGUAUUAGCAAACCAAGCAUUACAAGUAUUUUAUGGCGACGAUCCUUCAAAUAAAGGCUAGCAUGUUGCAAGAAAAGUUCUACCUCGUGAUACUUUUGACAUUUUGCAAGAAAAGGAUGACGAUUUGGAGAAUUUGGAUAAUUCUACACAAAUGAAAAGGAAAAGAACUGAUGAAGAUUUUUGACCUUUAUCAUGCAUGUUGUUAAUAUUUUUGACCUUUAUCAUGCAAACCAAUAUUUAUAAAGUUUUGCCCUUAUUGAUAGGAACUAAUAUUGAUUUCUGUUUUUCUGUUAUUGAGUGCUGCGGAACUGUGAGAUGUAAUACUGGGAAAAAAAUCUAGCUUUAUAAACAACCAUGUCUAUACUUCUGUUUUGUGCACUUAUGCUGUUGCCAAUUGGAUGGAUCAUUGUGCAUGCUUGUAUCUCACAUUUUACAUAAGCUUCUUGGUUAUGUACUCCUUUUAACUGCAAUUUUUGUUUUUUGGAAUAACGCUGCGGAAAGAAUCUUACCAGGAAGGAGGGGACUGGUAAAACAUAUCAGAUAGAUUCGAAAUCACUAUCAGAUCCUAAAAGUGUCCACGCAUGAGCAUGGAAAUUGGGCAAAGCUAGCCAAUGUGUGCCCCUCCAAGUUGACACGAAUUCAUCAAAAUUUAAGAAAUCUGAAAUGGGAGCAACUACAAAGAAUGUACAUCAUGUAUAUAUUCCACCUAGUGCUUUAGCAAGGGAAAGAGGACACAACUUUGGAUCUUUGCGCUCUAUAAAAACAAGUAUUGGAAAGAGAACUCUAAUUGGAGAAAGUAAAAAUUACAAUUCAACAGCUUUUGAGCAGAAUAAGCUUGCACAUACUAAUAAUCUUGUGCCCCCUGGUUUCGCUUUGAUGGAAGAGGAUGCUCCCCUCGCUCAAGACCUUGAAGCGAUACAAGAAACAGGAACAACUUUGAAGAAUGUACAUCAUGCAUACAUUCAACCUGCGGCUUUAGCAAGGGGACGAGGGCAAAGCUUUCGAUCUUUGGGCUCUGCAAAAAUAAAUAUUGGCAAAAAAAAUCUGAUUGGCGAGAUUAAAAAUUACAACUCAGGGGCUUCUAAGCAGAGUAAGCUAGCACAUAGCGGUAAUAAUCUUAUGCCUCCUGAUUUUGAUACGAUGGAAGACCAUAUUCCCUUCACUCAAGAAGCUGAAAUGAUGCAAGAAAUUGGAGCUAUUUUGAAGAAUGUACGAGACACUUAAAGUCAACCUAGUGCUUUAGCAAGGGGAUGUGGGCAAAACUUAAGAUCUUCGGGCUCGGCAAAAGGAAGCGUUGGAAAGAGAAAUCUUGUUAGCGAAAGUAAAAAUCACAACUCAACAGCUUCCAAGCAGAAUAAGCUAGCACAUAAUAGUACUAAUCUUAUGCGUCCUAGUUUCGAUCCGAUGGAAGACGAUGUUUCCCUCGCUCAAGAAGAUGAAAUGAUGCAAGAUUUAUGUGAACCUGAAAAGCCAAAAAAAUGUGAGAGGAAAGAACAAGAAUAAAGAUGUAGCAAUACUCAAAGCCGGAGAAAAGUUUAGAGUUAACUUUUACAACAAUCGGGUUGUUGGAAAGCAUCAAGCCUCAUUUUUAAGACACUUGGGUAUAUUAGUUCGUGAUCGUAAUAUGUGUGCGUUGCAAGUACAUUCAUGGAAGGACAUCGGAGAAGAUAAGCUGGAAAACAUGUGGGAAGCUGUUACGGUUCAUUAUCAAGACAUAUAUAGUGGCCCACAUGACGGAGCAAAUAGUCAGCCGGUUAUCUGUUUUGUCUAUCCAUUAUGAGGACCAAAAAUAGUUGGGGUUAUUUGUUUUGAAAGACCGAAAUGGAUUUUCAGAGUAACCCACAGGGGGUGAACUUGGAAGAUUUGUUCUUAAAAGCUUGCAUAUUAUUUUGGACUCAAGGGUUCCUUCGAUACGACCUUAUGGCCGUGGUAGUGGGGAAGUGAAGAAGAGUGACAGGUGGUUCAAUAAUUGGUGUUGGGAGAUCGUCCUGCUGUUCUUGAUAACUUGAAUUUGGUGAUAAAUCUAGUACUUCAUUGGAGCACGAUUCGAUAUGAGUACAGGAUUUGCAGGAGGAUAUACAGAAACUGUUUUGGAGAGGUGGGUUCUUCAGCACCAGUUCAACGUCCACAAAGUUGGACUAGUGGUCUCCUCAGGGCACCUUCUUUACCUCAGCUAUAUGUAGGAUCUCCACCUUUGUGCCGUGCACCAUAUUAGCUUUCAACUACGCCCAGUAAUGUGUAUGGACAGAGGGUUCCACCUAACAUGGCAAUGUCUGGACAGUUUUAAGUGAAAAAUUUAAGGAAACAAAUAUUAGAAACUCGAUCAAUAGGUCUAAGUUGAGAAUGCCUCAUCAAGCCGAUUAGAGAAAUUAUUUACGAACUGCUAAGUGCACAAUGCAAUCCGAUUCAUAUUCGCUGAAGAGUGCUUUUUCCAGUAAAGGACUUGACUGGUACCAUAUAAAUUUUCUGUAUGGGAUCUUUUUACUGUUUUUCAACUUGAGGUGAUCUAGUCCUCUGCUCGACAUCUUUUACCUUCAUAAGGCUAGCUAUUAAUUACCACUCUCUUGUUAAUCAGCAAUUGUCAUGACAAUAUAUCUUUCUUGAUGGCAAUGUUCUGCUG